AUGACUCCAUAAGAUGUAGUUGGAAAAGAAAGACAAAUCUUAAGCAUGUUAAAGAUUUGGGGUUGUGUGAUAAUAAGCAAUAUUCGUUUGAUAACAAUCUUGUAGGAUAUCCUUGAAAUAACUUUUGGAUAUCGCUUCUAUAAACCAACUAACAAAUGUUGUUUUGUUGGGAAGUUCAUUGUAAUCCUACAAUGUGAUUUGCCUAAGAGCAAAUGAACG
rnacentral:lncRNA from 1 species